AGAGUUUGAUCCUGGCUCAGGACGAACGCUGGCGGCGUGCUUAACACAUGCAAGUCGAACGGAAAGGCCCUUCGGGGUACUCGAGUGGCGAACGGGUGAGUAACACGUGGGUGAUCUGCCCUGCACUUUGGGAUAAGCCUGGGAAACUGGGUCUAAUACCGAAUAUGACCAUGCACUUCCUGGUGUGUGGUGGAAAGCUUUUGCGGUGUGGGAUGGGCCCGCGGCCUAUCAGCUUGUUGGUGGGGUAAUGGCCUACCAAGGCGACGACGGGUAGCCGGCCUGAGAGGGUGACCGGCCACACUGGGACUGAGAUACGGCCCAGACUCCUACGGGAGGCAGCAGUGGGGAAUAUUGCACAAUGGGCGCAAGCCUGAUGCAGCGACGCCGCGUGAGGGAUGACGGCCUUCGGGUUGUAAACCUCUUUCAGCACAGACGAAGCGCAAGUGACGGUAUGUGCAGAAGAAGGACCGGCCAACUACGUGCCAGCAGCCGCGGUAAUACGUAGGGUCCGAACGUUGUCCGGAAUUACUGGGCGUAAAGAGCUCGUAGGUGGUUUGUCGCGUUGUUCGUGAAAACUCACAGCUUAACUGUGGGCGUGCGGGCGAUACGGGCAGACUUGAGUACUGCAGGGGAGACUGGAAUUCCUGGUGUAGCGGUGGAAUGCGCAGAUAUCAGGAGGAACACCGGUGGCGAAGGCGGGUCUCUGGGCAGUAACUGACGCUGAGGAGCGAAAGCGUGGGGAGCGAACAGGAUUAGAUACCCUGGUAGUCC
rnacentral:rRNA from 1 species